ACAGACAUUUCCUUUCUUCAUGCCAAGUACUACAUCACCAUGACUCGACACAUGUCAAAGGCAGGGUAAUGGCAGAUCUUGUUGUCCAAACUGAGACAUUUUCUAGAGCAAAACAUCUCUUGCUGUAUGUAUUGACAGUGAGAUAACAGGCAAAGACAGAACUGUCUUGGUGAAAGGGAUACAGUCACCCAAUCCCAUAAGAUAUGAGGCAAAUACUGUUAUUACAACACAGUAAUAAUCAUAAUGACAGCAAUCAAUGCUUACAGAGCACCGAUGUGCUAGCCUAAGUGCCUCAGAUGGACUAAUCAUUUUCAGAAAAAUUCCACAAAGUUGGUCCUAUUAUUGUAGUGUUAAGGAAAAGGAGAAUACAGGUAAAGUGUUUUGUCUAAGGUUACCCAGAUAGAAUCAAGCAAGUUGUCUUCCAAACUCAUUUUAUAGUAUUACCCUGUCUGAAGGCCCCACCCUCACCCCACACCUACACUGACUGCCUGUUAUACCAAAUAAAAUGUGUUCAAUAAAUGGAUCCCUCUUGGGUACUUUUCUCUCCAACUAAAGCAGCAAUCCCCUAAAAAAUAAAAAUCCAAAACUGAGGAACAGAAACUCUUCAAAAUACCAGAAAAACCUUCUCAACAGGAACAGAAAGAUGGUUUGAAACAGCUCUUCCGAAGUUCCCAGGAAUACUAGUUCUCCACUGGCUGACAGCAUUGGACUCCCACAAUAUCAAACCUUUCACACACAUACACUUUUCCCCCCUUCAUUUUCUUUCUAGUUCCAUAAGUGAAGUGCCUGGUCUGGUCACUCACUGUCCCCUACUUCACUUCCUGAGUAACCUCCAAAGUUUUCACACACAUGACUUCCAUUUUCAGUCCACCCCUCACACUCUAGAUCCACA
rnacentral:lncRNA from 1 species